rnacentral:rRNA from 1 species
AUUGAACGCUGGCGGCAUGCCUUACACAUGCAAGUCGAACGGCAGCACGGGGCAACCUGGUGGCGAGUGGCGAACGGGUGAGUAAUGCAUCGGAACGUACCCGGAAGUGGGGGAUAACGUAGCGAAAGUUACGCUAAUACCGCAUAUUCUGUGCGCAGGAAAGAGGGGGAUCUUCGGACCUCUUGCUUUCGGAGCGGCCGAUGUCAGAUUAGCUAGUUGGUGAGGUAAAGGCUCACCAAGGCGACGAUCUGUAGCGGGUCUGAGAGGAUGAUCCGCCACACUGGAACUGAGACACGGUCCAGACUCCUACGGGAGGCAGCAGUGGGGAAUGUUGGACAAUGGGCGCAAGCCUGAUCCAGCCAUGCCGCGUGAGUGAAGAAGGCCUUCGGGUUGUAAAGCUCUUUCGGCCGGGAAGAAAUCGCAUGGAUUAAUACUCUGUGCGGAUGACGGUACCGGCAUAAGAAGCACCGGCUAACUACGUGCCAGCCGCCGCGGUAAAAC